GACAGAGGGUGCAAACGUUGUUCGGAAUUACUGGGCGUAAAGCGCGUGUAGGCGGCCCUGCAAGUCGGAUGUGAAAUCCCACGGCUCAACCGUGGAAGUGCAUUCGAAACUGCAGGGCUAGAGUCCUGGAGAGGAAGGUGGAAUGCUUGGUGUAGCGGUGAAAUGCGCAGAUAUCAGGAAGAACACCAAUGGCGAAAGCAGCUCUCUGGGACGGUACUGACGCUGAGACGCGAAAGCGUGGGGAGCGAACAGG
rnacentral:rRNA from 1 species